AGGAGGCACCCAGAGAUCGGGCCUGGUGUGGGCAGCUUUGUACCGGGAUUUUCUUCCUGCUGAUGAAGAGGAGGUGGACCCCCACGGAGACCUCUACAGUUUUUUCCAGUAUGGCCUGAAUUCUGUGGACGGACUCUUUCCUGGCCUGCCGAACACUGUCCUGGCCACCAGUCUCGAUGGAAUCCAGUUCCAACAGCAGCUUGGUCAACAUCUCCUCCAGCAGCCGUCUGCGAACAGAAAUGAUGCAAGCGGACGAGAUCUACCAGUUCUGGGGCCCGAGGGGCAGGGUGCUCAGGUCACCCCGGAGCUGUCGAGUUGGAGAACUCAUCGUAUGAACGGUCUGUAUGUCCAAACCACGUGUGAGCAUUUACCUGAACACAUUCAGGUAAAAAUGGACACUGAACGUGAGCUUCCAUCUAACCACAGAGGAGACAAUUCAGCGUCAGGGUUUCACGAGCUCACGGAUGACUCCCUAUAGCUUUGGGCAAAACAGUUUUUUGCCCGUGAGCUGUUUCACAGGGAAGGGAUUGCAUCACCUGCGUGCCGGGAUUUAUGAAAGCGCUGGAUCAAACCUACACGUCCCAGAGGAUUAAAACAAACCGCAGUUAUGUCUGGGCAGCAGACAACCUCUUUGGAAAGAGUAAAGCCCUUCUCUUCACACAGUAUUUGUGCAACGGCCCCUAAAAAAAGCUAUUGCUGCAAUAAAACCAACAAAUAAUAGAUCCA